UCCAUGUAUAACACUCAUAGAUUAUAAUUUUGCAUGGUCAAUGUACAUAAUUAAUAAUUAGUUUACCUUUGUAUGGGGUUAGAGUGGUUGUUAUUGCAUGAUACUUUUGUAUUUUUUUUUAUUACCAUAUUUCACAUGACUCUGUGUGAUUUUCAUUUCUGAAUAAGCUGUUCGUUGCUGUAUUUGCAUGUUUUCCCCUUCCAAUUAUAUAAGAAAAAGCUUGACUUUGUUUCAAAAAUCAGUGCAUUUUGUCAUGUUUCCAUGUCCCAAUGCUUCCAUACAUCCUGUUUAUCCAGCAUGGGGAAUUUCAGCUCUGUCUUUAAGUUUUCAUUUGAAGCUGAAGAUGUUAACUUACAAGGUAACACUGGCAACCAAUGGCAAAUCUGCAGACUUCAAUGUUGUUGAAGAAGAGCCUUGGAAACGUGAAAACUAAGUGAAGAAGUUCCUAGCUGCAUCCUUAAUAAGUCCUGAAGCUAUCUUAUGGCAGAAGAUACCAUGAUUAAAGAAGAAGAUUUCUCUUUCCUUUUUUUUUUUUUUUUUUCCUAUUUAACAUCUACAGUUUCUGCUUAAUUUUGUAACUGAAACGUAGCAAAGAUCUCAUCAAGUCAUUGUAGUGUCUUUGCCAAGCAAUGAUCCAUAGCCAUCUGUCUCCCUUGUGUUACUGUCUGGAUGAUGCACCUGGAGAAUGCUCCAUGCAGUGCAAUGCGCUCUCACCCACUUCCCCUUUCAUUCAAGACACAGAGAAUGUAAAUGCUGCAAAAUGGGAAGAUCAAAGUGCCAGUACAGUUCACUACAGGGACUCAGGGUCACAGAUACAAGAGAAACAUACCACCACGUAAGCCUUCAAGUGUUCUGGUGACUCUUGUGGCAUACCUGAUCUGUUUAUCACUGUAUGGCUAAAAUACCUUUUGAAAACAUCCGUAAAGAUUUCUGUUUGUUUUGAUAAUAACAAGCACUGUACUUUUGUGCCUAGCUGUACUUUGAAUUGAGCUUAGAUCUGGGGGCAGGAUUAAUGCAUAGAAGUCAAUAAAUUAUCCCAGACAUUUUGUUAGAUCAGUACAACUAAAAUUUAGCAUCAAGAGAAGACCUUAGAUUUCUAUGUGCAUGCAGUGUGUUUUUAUCAGAUGUCCCAGGGCAGGUGCAGCCUUUAUUUUAUGCUAGGGCUGUGCUGCUUUGUGACCACAAUAUGCACAAUACAAGGCAGUAUAAUAACAGGGAUGGUAGUUCCUUCACUAAAUCUAUGGCUGAUGAGCAAAAAUACAGAAAACCAUGGACUCAGUUGUGCCAUUUUUAAUCAAAGUAGGUGGUACCUGACUAUCCACCUUGCUCCACUGAUGUCAGAGGGGUUUAUCACAUGGAUGGGAUACUCAAGUAAGGUACUACCAAGAUUGAUUAUGGAUGUCAUAAUUGAGUACUUAAUAAUGAGCUGCAGACAAGUUCUGAACCCAUUACUCUUACAGAAUUUUUGAAUGUGAUCAUCAGUUGCAUUUGCUAUGAAGUGAAAGCCAUCUUUCAAGUAUGUAAUGUUUCAGAGAGUGGCUAAAUCCUGAAUUCAUUGCUAAACCAAAUUCCUUAUAAGGUUAAGAAAAUUUGUCCAGGGUUAGGACUGAAUAAAAAUGAAACCAGAAUUUCAGGAUUUAGGUCAAUAUGUUGAAUUUACAUCUCUGUCUCUUUUGCAGAGUAAUAAGUAUACAACUCCCUAAUGUCAGAGAAAUGUUUCUUUGAGCACAUGUGUCUGACUCAACCUGUCAGAAGAAAUUGCAGUGAGAAUAAACACCUUGUGAAAUUUUUUUUAAGGUGCUUGUUAAUACUUAGCAAUUUUAAGAUACUGGUGAAUACCAUUAUACUGUUAGCAACGUUCCAUAGCAAAGCUGAGCCACGUGGCCUUGGAAGGUUCUACUCACAGAACAAGCUUUGUGCAGUUUUGGGGGAACUCUCAGAAGUUUUCAGAAUGAAUCAGAAUAUGAGCAUAUGGUGAACUUAAAAAUGGCAAGAAACAAACAUUUAUGGAAAUAGGCCAUUCAGUGUCUGCUCAAACCUGUCAUGGGUUUAAAGGGGAAUAAUGUGUUUAACUGUAGAGUGUUACUUGGCUCUGUAGAAGCUAUUAAAGUGAAAAUAUAAUCUGCUUUUGUUCUUCUGCAUUCAUAUAAAUAUCUCUGAAACUGCACACGGACCUAAGCGAGCCAAGGCUACUUGCAUGAUUAAUGAUGUGCAAGAUCAAGUCCAUUGUCAGAGUAUCUCUCAUUUAAGCAUUUAUCGUGGAAUAUUUUCCUUACCACUGUAUUUUUGUCAUCACUUGAAUGCCAUGGCCAAGCAAAUCUUAAGCAAAAUGGCCUAUAUAAUUUAACCAAUAUUGAACCACUGUGAAUUCUGUAGGCCUCUAACAUGUAUUAGAGGGGGAGGCCUUUCCCAAAGGCCUCCUGAAGGAUCUUGAGGAUUUGAUUUUUUAUCUUUUUGUGAAGGAUGGAAUUGUAAGUUGUUCAGAGAAGUGGAAGGCAGGUUGUAUUCUCUUUUCUGCAGUCAUUGCUAUUAGCAUAUCCAGAGUUAACCUCUGUCUAGCUAUUGCUUCCCAAGUAGCAUUCACUGGGUUAUGUGCCAGAAAUGUGCCUGGGAUGGUGUGUAGGUACUGUUAAAUGUUCCCUACUCUGAGGGUGCUGGCUCUCAUCAAGUGAAAUUUGCUGUCACUCGAGUGGUAGUUAUAUCCAAGAAUAACACACAGCAUGUACCCCAUUUUGUAUCCAGCAUUCUUGAGCUGUUUCAUGGCACAGCUCACCCAUUAAUAGAUGAUUUUUCUGCCUCUCCACCACAGCAGUUUCUUAGGAGCAGCGACACUGAUUGCUUGCAUUGAAAGUAGCUUUAGAAAACUGGUCCAUAUACUUUUAGCUGUCAUUUGAAACUGUUUAGCAGUUGGAAACAAACAGGAAUGUCAGCAACAUGUGACUAGGCAGCUCCACAAAAUUACAUAUUGAGAAACACUUAGAAUAUGCUUACAGCUAUCCACUUGGGAUGUAAUGUCCUUUGAAGAGUGCUUCUUUGGAUAGAGACUAGGGAAGGAAGGAAUGCAGUGCUAGAGAAACCCCACCCACAAAUGGGAGAAUAAAUUUGGAUCUUUUGAUAGAAUUAGAAUAGCAGACUGUGAUUUUAAAGUGGUAAUUCUGUAGAUACAGUAACUCAGGGAUUUUUCAAAAUAUAAUUAUGAUGGUAUUUCUCUAUUUAAAUGUGGAUGUGGGAGAAGGAGAAAUGUUGGGUUUCGUAUAUUUCUCUGCUUGUAGCCUGACUGAAUAUUUAAUAUAGUGCUACUCCAGUGCAGCACUGUAUUAAAUCAUCAAAAAGCUUUCCAUUUCUGUGGGAAAAUGUAACUCACUCUUGGCUUUCAUUUCUCGAUUUGCUCAUUCCACGAGGCUGGGUUGCUACUUAACUAGAUAAACAGAAAAUAACCCAGGGACCGUCCACUUCAGCUAAUCCAAGCUUCACGUUUCAGCAGGCAGUGCUGGUUACUGGCCAGCCUCCUUUUGCUUUCACUAGGAGUCUCAAUGCAUUAAUUUGCAUCUGGCAGUUCUUUUUGUAUCUGCUCACAGUGCUGGGGUGGCAAAGUUAAAGAAAAAGCUCAGUGAAAAGUCAUUUGUUUUUUGUGUAGUUCAUAUUAACAUUGUUUGCUGCAUUUGGUGCUCUGUCAGUUCCCCCCACCUUUGUCUGUGCAACUGUGAUAUCCUUUGACCUUUGGAUUGCUGGCAGCACAUUGGCACAUGGAAAAGUCUAGACCAGGCAAAGACUCAGUUCAUUGCAUACUAAAUGACAUACAUGCUUACACACUUGCUUUAUGCAUUUACUGCUGAAGCUGGGUCAGCAUUCUCAUAGUGUCUGUUCGCUGAAAGUAAAGCACACAGCACGUUAGAACUGCAGGAGAGGUGGAGCACUUUGCCGCUUAAAUUGUUUCUUCAUUGCUUCCCUUGAAAACAGCAGCUGCACCAGCCUUUUAAGAAAUGUGUGUGGGUCUUACACACAAAGAUUCUUCAGAUAGGUAGGGCAAAACCCACUUGGUCCUGUUACAAGAUGUGCUCUUUCCUUUUGAAUUGGUGAGAAGCUCAGUACACCUUUGAAAAACUGUUUGCAAUAGUAAAAACUGUAUCUGCAAUGCUUUGACUAUGUGAAAGAUCCAUUGAAAUCUGUGGGAGUCACAACGUUCCAGGAAAAGUCAAGUCCCUUCCUGUCUCUCUUAAGUUAUAAGACAUUUCACAAUCGCAUCCUAGGGAAUAGCCUUCAUCUAUUUAUAAUGAAGUUGAUUCUCACAUCCAAAAGGUUUCUGCCAAGAUACUACUUUUAUACCUAAUUGUUUCAGUGCUGCAAGUCCAACACUGAAUUUAAACUCAGCACAAAAAAAUGCUGAUUUUUCCCAUGGUUUUUUUUUCUGAGAUAUAGCUGAUCUCAAUUUCUUUCUCAAAGCACAUGGAAUUCCAGACUUUAUGCCACUUUAAAAAGUAGGAGUAAUAUAGAUUUCUAAUUUGUUUUCCAUCACUCCCCAGGUCACUAGUUUUCCAGCAGUAGACACGCAGAAGACUAGACUGUUCAUCUGAGAAGCUGAGGCAUCAGCAUGUGAACAAAUUUAUUCUGAUGACUUGCCUGGAUUUUCUUUGCUUCCUUGCCUUCACUUGUGUUAUUGCAGCCUUGUUGUAGCAACGCAGCAGCAGUCGCACAAAUUGCCAUAACUAUAGACAAUAUUAAACCUCCCCUCUAACAUUCACUUCUCUCUUUACCUUUAAAAAGGCUCUGAGCUUUAGUACUGAGCUCAGAAGAAUCCGUUUAUGGAGAUGUAAAGGUAUAACUGUUUCUCAUCUCUUUAAUUUCCAUUCAGCUUUUUUUUAUUGCUGCAUUUGAAUUAAUUUACUGAAGGAUAAAUAAGGGCACUUUAUAAAAAUGUACUGUAAUAUUAUUCUCUUAUGAGCCUGAAGACUAUCUUGGUUUUAUUACUGUGACUUUUAAGGCCACAAUUAAGAUUUUUUUCAUAUUAGCCAUUAUGAUAGGUGUAUAGUCCAUUGGGACAGUUCACCUCAGCUAUAAUUCCGCAUAUAAGAUUAUGUAGAAGCUCCUGUUACCAGCAGAAAGAAUUCUUGGAAAGAUGAGUUAUCUUCUUCUCUCCAGUAAUACUGGUGACUUUGAAGGGAAAAUACUUACCCAGUUAUCUUUGUCUAAAGAAUGAUAGGGAGAGUGUAGUUUCAAGUACUAAAAAGAACAAAGUAUUUACAACAGUGAAGUGUCAAAGGCUGUCAAGCUGUAAAUUGUUCAGUUUUGCCAUGCUGUUUUUGAAAAUGUUGUGUUCUUGCUCAUGAUUUUCCUUAAGCAAUGCAUUUAGUGUCUAUUCCUUCCAAAGUCAUCAAUCUUUCUUCCCCCUUGGGCACCAAGCCUGUGUCUCCCCUCUGACAGCACACAGACUUGAGGCAGGACUCCUGGAGGAGCCCCUGGGAGCAGUGCCUGGUACAGGCUCUGCCAUGGGUGCCUCCCUCAGUUUUUCCUCCUGGUCAUACUUUAUGUUCAAUGGAAAUCUGCUGCUAUGAAUGAGUCAAACCGCUGCUGAUGCCCAGGUGCUGGUAAUUCUUCUCCUUUGAGUGGCCUCCCUGGCACAAGGUUCUGAGGAACUGUCCCUCACAGGUGCCCACCAUCCCAGAGACAUCUUCCAUUAUUUAGGGGAAGCCCAGUGACUCCUCACUAACGGGCUGAUAUAAAUCUAAUGGAUAAAGUGCAGUUACAACUAUGAGUCUUACAUAAAAGCCAGGAUCCAGACACUGGAAAAGCCUAGAGCACAUGAACAAGCCACUGAGUAGGUCUCUACUACUGUCCAGGAUGGACAUAACCAACAGCCUAAUGCACAAUUUGGGGAGACGAGAAGACUUGUGAUGUUUCUCACUUCACCCAACCUUUGAUCCCCUUUCAUUUCUAACUCCAUCCUGCUGCAGAGCCAAUGCUGAUCAAUGCUAGAGCAUCCAGUCCUUCUAGUCUUCUACUCAACACUGAGGAGUCCUGCAGCUGUUUCUGAUGUUGCUCUGUGGCACACACCAUUGCACGGAGGGAAGCUGUCACAGGCAGCAUCACACAACCUGGAUUGUCUCGUACCUGUAUAUUGCUUUGUACAUAAAUAGUGUAGUCUGCUGGAAUUUUUGUAUCGUUCUUUUCAAUUCCUUUUUCUACAGUUUUUCAAAGACUGUAUGCAAACUGUGCUUGCAUAUUGAUUUUGCAGUCAGUAUUGUAGAUUAUAGCAUUUCUGUGUUGGUAUUUUGUAUGGACUUGUGAGUUCUUGUGUACUUCAGGUUGUCCUUCCUACUUAAAGACAACUGCAGACACUUCCAUCCAAUAUAUCCUGCUCCUUUCUUAAAUAUAUCUUAUUUCCUAUGAUCCAGUAUGAACUCUUCUUGUAGAAUGCAUCAGAAAAAGCUGAACGUGUAUUUAUAGUGUUAAAUAUUGUGUGCUCAACACUGAUUUAGUGAAGAAUAGUACAGGUUUUAGGGGUUUGUACUUGUUCCCUGGAAACUACAGUGUAGACUGAAUUAAAUUACCUAGUAUCUGUAAUUUACAGACACACAAAUAUUUUCUUAGAAUGUUUUCUAUGGGAUCAUAUAAGGUAGGGAAGUAAUUCUUUAAAGGUGAUCAAAACCAGUUUUCUUAUGACAUUUAGGAUCAAUGAAAUAUUUUUGUGUUAGUUUUGGUGAUGAAUUAUAGACAAAGCACAAAAUGCAAGAAGCAAAUAAGAAUUUCAAGAUGUCCUUAAAUGCUGCAGUCCAUCAUGGAACAAUACUAUAAUAAUCUGAGCAAUCUUCUAGAUUGACUGUCUUGGGCAAUCAUCCCUCACUUUUAUAAUUUUUCCUGAUGUUACCUUUGCCAAAUCCUGCAGUUCUUCCUUAGGACCUGUUAUUGUAUAACUGACUGGCUCAGAAUGCAGUUUAUAGAAAAUAGAUCAGGGUAGGCAAAAAAUAUGCUGUCAGGAACCCCACCCAUCUUGCUACAAUACAGUGUGUGUGAGUUCAGCCUGCGGAAAAAGUUCAGGAUUUUGCCGCCUAAUUUUGCCUUCUCGAAAAAGGACCAACAGAACCACCAUGGGACCAGUGUAAUUGGGUAGCAUCCAUGCAAAUACCUCCUGUUUUCUUAAGAAUUUUUUAGAGAAUAACCACUAUAUUUUUCAACCCAAAUGACAGUUACUUCUCAUUUUGGUAAUUUCUUCCCAUUAGGCAAAUACCUGUUGGCAUUAAGGCCGUGGCUAUAAUAAUUUCAACUUAAUUAAUAAGGAACAGUUUUUAGAGGAAUAAAAAUAAUAUAAAUAUUUGUAACAACUAUAUAACAAACAAAAAUAAUCUUCUAUGGCCUACUAGCUCUUUGACUGUAAUUCAAAACAAAGAAAACAUCGAAUAGGAAGGACUGCUGUCCCAGUAUGACUGAUACUGGGUAUCUCUUCAACUAUUCAGAAAUCUGUGGGGCCAUGUUAUUCUGCUGAGGUUUUGGAGCCUAAGUUUCUAGUAGAUAUAUAUAUGUAGGAAGUGUGCUGAUAUGCCCUUGUAUUUUGAUCUAUAUUGUAUUUUAAAUCAGAUGUAACAGGUAUUAACUUAAUAGGAAUCACAGGUAGAAUAGUGAUGAGUUACUAAUAGCUGUAAAACCUUAUUGAUACCAGUUUUGACAUUUUGUUGAAGCAUGAUGUCCAGUGCCUCUCUGCACUUAGUGUAGAUAAUGUAGCUAUCAACACGUAAUUUCAGUGAAAUGGUGUAUACAGUAUGUGUAGCUUUAAAUUAAUUUAAUCGGUUUCUGUGUGUUGAGACAUAGUAGAAAAUUAGACUGUGUUUUAACAUUUUGUUCUGCUUUCUCUUUUUCAUUUGUAUCUGGGUUUGUUUGUUUUGACCGUUCAACUGAUUAGGUUCCACAGCUUAGUAACUAAUUUAUCUGUCUCUUAUGGAGUACCCAGUUUUAAUAACAUUCAGAAUCAUGUAUGCAGCCAGACCAUUGUAAAUAUGUUAAUUUUAGUUUUCAACUAUCUAACCAGUAUGGUGUGUGUUAGAAGCUGCAUGUGUGUAGUUCCUUGGCAGUGAGUGAAAGUGAUCCCAGCAUAGAUUUGCUGCCUGGUGAAUACACUUGUUAUGACAUAAAGAAUUAAUGUUCACCUGGAAUGACAAGCCUUUGUUUUAUUUUCUUCUUGUUUGCUUGAAAUGUUUGGACUCUUUGUCACCAGAAGUUUAGUAAGUCACCAUUUAAAUUGGCACAAUGAAUGAAGAGAACUGCAUCUAACUGCAUUCCUGUUGGAUGCCUGGGCUGCUUUUGGCUCCGUGCAUCACUCAGCCCUUAGUCACAUCAGGGCAUCACAGGAUCCCUCUGAGUCACUUCCAGUCACUUCUUGACCACAGAUGCCAGGAAAGCAGAGCAGUCCCACAGCUGUGACUGGGCAAGCCUGCAGGCAGCAAGGGGCUGCCAGUUCUCUCCAGAGUGCCUGAGAAGUCCAAGUAGGAACCUCUGCUUCAUCCAUUCAGAGGAACAGUCUCUGAGAAAGAUGAACACACUCAUGGGCUAAGGGGCACUGUUUCUUUCAUUGUUAAAAAGGGAUAUUGGCAUUUAUUGGAAAAUAAAUACCAAACUAAAUGCUUCUGAAGCUCCUGUGGUCGUUGUACAAGUCUGUUAUUUACAAAAGUAUGUCUGAUAAUAAAAAAAGGUGAUCAACUACACAGUCAGUGGCAAAAAUCUAAAAUCAGAGCUGCAGUUCAGAUCUAUAAGAAAAUAGAACCUUGCAGCAACAAGAAGCUGAUUCAUUCCUAGAUACUCUGGACCUGGAUCGUAUAAAUAUAAUCAUCCCCUCUAGACAGAAAGAAAUAAAAAUUAGGCCCCAAAGCACAGAAACUAUCCUUCUUGGUGAUUCUCAUUAUGAUGCUUCAGGAUGAAUUGCACACUGGAGUUCUCUGUGCUGCCUGCUCAUCAUCCCUUGCCCCUUCUUUAAGGUGACCAGGCAUGAACUGGAAUGUUUUGCGAUGUUCUGUUGUAAAAAGGAUUAAAAAGAAGAGGGAUAAGGUUGGUCUUUACACUCAGAAAGUUCCAGAGAUUUUGAAAUGACAUACUGUACAGUAUCUAUAGCACAGUUUGUUUAGAAAUUAAUAAAUGCAGAUGAUAAAAUUUCUCCCAACCCUGGGCUCUGUUCUUGUAUAUUGUAGUUGGAAUGCCUUGUAGACUGAUUCUAUUUUUGUAGUUCAGGUCCUUUCCUCUUUACAAGGAUUGUUAGUCAUUGGCUUUUAAUGCUUUCUUACAGAGUGAACUGAUUUCUGUAACUUUCAUGUAUAAAACAAACUAGACAUUCUUUCUAUACUGGAAAUAGUCAUGAAUAUAAUGUUUCACUAAGUGUUGUACCUCUUAUGUACAUAUCAUCAAUAAAUGUUGAUUCAUAAUUUUCA